CAGACCCGGGCCCAGAGGGGCGGGGCUCCGGCCGGGUUUCCCGCGUUGGGGCGCAGGUCCUGCAAGCUGUGGUAACCGCGUGUCCAGGAGCGAGACGUACUCGGCGCCGGGGGAAAAAGCCACCCCCCAAAUAUUAUGACCUCGAGCAACAACCUAGGAAUCUCCAAAAGCCACCGUAGAAAAACGACCCUUUUAGGGCUCCAGGACCACUCUCUUUACGUCGCUGCACGGUCCUGAGCGAAUGGCGCGAAAGAGGCACCUCAUCCCUGACAAGCUGUGCUCCCUGGCUGGUGAGGAUAAGGAACUAUUGUAAUACUCAUUGGCUUCUGGCAUCAGAUCACCCUGGAUAAGUGGACUAGCCAGGGUAUGGAUUUCCAGUGCUGAAUCAGAGCCAAUCUGGCGGCUCAGAAGACCAUCACAAUGCAGCAGUGCAUGGAGUCCAUUUACAGGCUGACUUCCCUCAUCUUACUGCUGGGCAUGCUUCUACCACUGACCCUGAAGUAGUGAGGCUUCUCUGGCGAGAGGUAUGAACUCUAGGAAGCUAUGAAGACAUCAACAGGUGCCUCCUGAAUAACCUCGCCUCAGUUCUCCAAGAAAGCCUUCCUCCGCACAAGUUUUUCAAAGUUUAAAAAAUGACCUCAAAUUUGAGCGUACUGAGAUAUUUAAGAGGAAGUGUACUGGUGUCUGCAAAUGACUUUGACUUGCAUCAAAAAAAUGAAGAUUGGUGUAUGGCUAGAGUGAUAGAUGGACAUCUAUGUGAUAAGGCAAGUAGAAUGAAAUGCUAAUGGUUGCAUUUAGCGGGUAGGGGAGGAUUCAUUAUAAAUACUUUUUUUAACUUGGCUGUAUGAAUAAUAAUAAAAAUGUUGGCAGAUAAACACUGUGUGUGCAAUGAAAAGGAGAAAUACGCCAUGUCUUUGCACCAGAUUUGACCCCUGAGCCAUAAAUUCACCUUCUCUUUUACGUUACUUGAAGAAUGAAGGAUUCUGAGAGGUUAAGGAUAAUGUAGUGAGCACCUUACAUGCUGAAACUAGAAAAUGCUCUCAUAGGAGUAGACCUGGAAUGUCUCCUGAGCAAGCUCAGACAAAAUUAUUAUGGAAAAGCACUAACAAAGAGGCUGUUGAAAACCUGUUGGCUUCAGCAGAAAGCUGGGGGAGCCCUUUGUUUUAGGAAAACUUCUAGAUAAAUUGCACAACCAAGCAGGGCACGUGCCUGAGGGGAGUGACCCUCUUUGCCCAACCACAUUCACAAGAUGGAGAGCCAAUUAGUGAAGGAAAAGUCUAUUCAAUAAUGUGAAAACCCAGUUUUCGGUUAACAGAAGUCAGAUCAGUCACUCAGAAUGGACAGAUCUCUCAGUAUUGCUCUGUUUUGGGGCUGCUCCCUGGGCAGCGGGAGCCCUGAGGUAACUGGGCAGCAUAAUGACUAUUUGAAGUCAUGACUGCACUUCUCUGACAUGGCAAGAGCCUCCUCAAGCAGUGGCUGGAAUAAAAAGCCUUAGGAAAGAUGAGGUGACUUAGUUCUGUUUCUUUUGCCUGUCCAGUUUUGGAACGAAGUUAGCCAAAUCACAGGUGAAAGACCUCAGGCUGUGUGUAAAUGCCCGAGGCCCUCGGCUCUCCCACCUCACAGCCUGAGAACUCUCCUUGACCUCAGGCCUGCCAUAGACCGGCCUGUGCACGCGCUCAGAGGAGCUCUCUGUUGAGAAGGGGUUGCUGACAGGUGGGAACUCACAUUGCUGGAGUGCUUAAUCUGCUCCAGGCAUGCUGCUGGGUACUUUGUGCUAUUUUUGUUUGAGAUCCACAGUAACCCUGCAAGUUAGGUUUUUUUUCCCAUUAGGUGAGAAAAAUGAGGCUCAGGUAAAUAAAGGAAUUUUCCUAGGGCCUCCUGGUCAUUAAGUGGUAGAGGUGGAAUUAUAAUAGCACAAGGCUGCCUGGCUCCAGAGUUGGAGAAGCUGCCGAUAGGGAAGGGCAAUUGGGAGAGGUGGCAGAAUGUACUCACUGGGCGGUUGUCAGAGCUCCACAGUGGGCCCAGCUACUGACAACAGGCAAGUGGGGGAAGGACCAGGGAAGAUUUUGCUAAUACAACUGAAAAAGCAAGUGGCCGCAGGUCCUCUCCUGCAGCAACUGCUUCCCUGUUCCCCAGAGUCCAACUUGGAAAAACAAGGGUCCCCAUAAUAGGGUUAUAGACCUUUUUACUUUUCAAAUUCUUUCUCUUAUCUGAAAGAAAGGCUUUUGCCUGAACCAUAAAAGAUAGCGACAGAAGCAAUAAAACUAUACUCAAAGGCACUGUAAGACAAGGGGGGCAUUAUCCAUGUCAUUAAAUUACAAACCUGGGUGGGAAAGAAAAUAUGCAGUGUUCACUUCAAUUAUUAACUUAAUCUGUCAGUGCCCUGACAUAAUGCUAGGUUUUUUUUCUGGGGGGGGGGGCAUCUGUGAUUUCACUGUUGCCUAGUUAAGAAAAGUAACCCUCAAAUCAAGUCAUGGAAUUCUUUAAAUUCUGCUCAAUUUCCUAUUACCCGCAGGUAUUCUCUGCAUUUUUGCUACACAGCGAGUCAUUAAGUUGUCAAUGAAUUGCAUUGCUCACAACUACCAGGAUUUAAACAAAGUAUUGAAUUCUACAGGACCCAACAGAGACAGGAUGCCAUGUGAUGAGUUCUUGACCAAUCGAUCACUGAAAAGGUUUUCAUAGCAGUAACAUGAAUUAAAUCAUCAAGAACAUCACUAAAAGUAACAACAUAUUUAUGAGCCUAAUAUAGGAUCUUACAUGCAAAAUUGCUGCCUUUUCAGUUUCUUGGUAGUGGUAGGAACCAGGUAGUGGGAAUGUGGGCUCAGAUGUAAAAGCCAUUCACUUUUACCAGGGUGAACUAUUGAUUUGGGCUUGAUGUGAGUGACAGAAAUGUGGGUAUUGAUUUAUGAAUCGGAAACAUUCAAGAGUCACUUUGGACAUCUUGUGAACAACUCACAGUCCUGACAGGCAGAAAUCAAAAGCAGACAGCUCUGUAUUCUGAGAGCCUUUGGGGGCCCGAAAGGACUUCUUUCCCAAAACCAUUUCACCCCUGGCAGUCUGAAAUGGCCCUGUUACUCAUUUGGUUUAAAGGGUUGAUGGUGAUGAUUAAGACAGAAAUAAUAUAGAAAAAGAGUCUACAUUAAGCCAUGACUGGGGGAGUAGCAGGGAAUGAGAUGAAAGAUGACAGCUGAAAGUCCAGCUCCCGGAGCUUGAAUUCCAUUUCUGUCACUUUCCCCCCAACCUUAGCCAACUUAUAUAACCUGUUUGGACCUUGGUGUUUCUAUUCACAAGUAUGCUGAAUGAGGAUUAAAUGAGAUAAUGUAAAUAAAGUGCCCAGCACAGUGCCAGAGCCAAAUAAGGAGCUUGGAAAGGAGCAAUUGCAAUUAUCAUGACCAACAUUAGUCACCAACACAGCUCCAAUUAGUUUAUUAGACUAGCCACCCCACCAUCUAGCAGCGAUCUAAGGGAAUGGGCCAGAAGUUGAGUAAGCUUUGACAGGCGAGAAGGUACAGAGUGUUUAGACAAGGGCUCUGGCCAGAGUAGGCAGGUGCGGUCAGAGCAUCUUACUUGGGUACCCAGAGGGCACCAAAGUCUGGUAUCAGUGUUGGAAAAAAAAAAAAAGAUGUAGACAGUGGCACCGUAACAAUGACUGGUCUUAUGAAAUAAACAGAAGAAGGAAUAAACUUGUAUCUUCUCACAUAGAUGGAUUAUAGAACACCAAUUCUGCCCCUUGCUGCUUCAGCAGGUCCUAAUGCGACCCUACCAAUAGGAACCAUCGGAUGUCUGGAGGACGGUGGCUAUGAAAUGGGAUUGACAGCCUGAGAGCCUUAUCUUGAUGAGGAAACUGAAGCAUAGAGAGAUGGGGAAAUCUGACCAAGAUCUCACAGACAGAAGGAGAUGGAGUUCGGAACUGAUCUAAGGUAAUCUCUACACACAACAUGAGGCUUGGACUCACAACUCCAAGAUCAAGAGUCUCAUGCUCUAACUGAGCCAGCCAGGUGCCCCUGAGAGAUCUUUUAAAAACAUAAAUCUGAUCCUAUCUACUUCCAGCUUAAAACUUUUAAAACUCCUUAGUUUAGCACCUAACAUCGUUCUUUUUCUGGUCACCAGCCACUAUUAUGGCCUAACUCUCACCACACUCGUCCCCCUGCUUCGUGCUAAGUCCCAGAGGCAGUGAUGCUUAAAGUGAGUUGUGCAGUCCCAUAGAAAUUAGCCUAAAGAAGAGCUCCCUGUGUCUUCCUGGCUUCAUACUUCAUACAUCUUUUGCAGAUGCCAGCUAUGCCUUUUGCCUUUCAUGUCUUCUCCCUGCCUAAUAAUUCCUAAUGGUUUUAAAUUUUUAGUUGAAGCAUCACUUCUACCAAAAAGACCUUAAGAUCCUCUCUGACCCCUCUAUGCAUCUGCUUUCAAUGUGCAGCCAGUGUGCUUCCAUUGAAUGAUGUGCUUGAUGUUGUUAAAAAAAAAAAAAAAAGGCGUCAUUCUGUACUAAAACCAUUCACUGAUCUUGUCUAUUUCUUCCAAUCAGCGAUGGGUUCCUUGCAAGCCAGGGACUGUACUUUUUGAUUUUGUAUUCUGACCUAGCAGAGAGCCAGGUCCUCAGUAAACGUCUGCUGAAUGCAUGGUGUAAAUGUAUUGAAAUUAUGACUGUAGGCAUGAUCAAGGAUCAAUAGGCUGUCAAAAGCUGCAGUGACUUUAGGCCUCGUGAAAACCUAUGGCUUGAGAAGGCUACACAACUGUGGACAAAACGAAACCACUGUAUUUGGUCUCCAGUAUCCUUUAUACCUUGCAAAUGUUUACAGAAGAUAUUUUUUAGUUUUCCAUAUUAACAAGUCAUUUCUUUGUUAGUUGCAAGUUAUUUUCUUGGUUGAGACUAAAUUUGACAAGUCUCUCUCAAAAAACAUUCUUCCCUCUUCUUUCACCACCUACAAGCCAUACGAUGGUUUAAACAAAGAGUACUAAGUGCCAUGGAGUCGAGGACAUCAAAGAGAGCAAAUUAAAAUAUGUGAUUUGUUUACCAUCACAUGGACUUGGGAGUGCCCACGGCCACAGAAUCCCAGGGCUAGAAGGGUGCCUGGUUGUUGUUGUAGAGAGGAUCUUACUGCCCCACUUUCUGUAGCUGCUUCUAACAACAGGAAUGACUAGACCAUGACCCAUCACAGGAAGAAAGGAAAGUGCUCGUAUAUGAGAAACCUUUCACUCAACCAGCUGCUGCUGCUUUUUUUUUUUUUUUUUUUUUUUUUUUUUAACUCAACCAGCUUCUAUGGCAAAACCAGGGAGAUAAAGAUUUCCAUUCAGCAAAAGCACUGAUAUAGCUGUAGUGGUGCAGGCAGGACACUGUCAGGAGUCCAGAAAGUGUAUCUUUUGAAGUGUUUACCCCCUCAAAACCAUUUCCAAUCACUCCCAAACACUGGUUUCAGGAAUGGCCUGGGGUAUGCACAGCAUAAUUAGGGACAGGCCAGUGGGCUAGCUGAGCCUAGGCUAGCACUCCCAGAGCAACUGGCUAUGGGUUGUAAGGAGCUAUAUUCACAAGGUCUCUUAGCUGCUGCCUCCAAAGAAAGGUACAAACGGUGCCGUAAGUAAGAGCUUCGUUCUGGGAUCAGAGAGGCCUGCAUUCAAAGCCUCAUCUCUCUGCUUGCUAGCCAUGUAACCCUUGGGUAAGUUAGUUAACCUUUUCAGAGCCCCAGUUUCCUCAUUUGUAAAAUAGGGGGAAGUAGCAUUUAUGUCUCAGUACUGUGUGCCUGGAACACAAUAUGUGGUCCAUUAAUAUAAGUUAUCAUUACUGCCUAUCUAUGGUAAUCCAAAGUAACACAAACUUGUUGUGAUUCCAGUUCAUAUGCCCCCUGGGUCAAGUAAUUUUGCCACACUCUAAAAUUAACAUAUAGCGAAAGCCUGAUUGAAUAAGUGUUGGUCAAAUGCCCUUCUGCCCUAUUUAGAGCUGAUACUUUGGGUUUCCAUAUUGCCUACAGUUCUACUCUCAGUGUUGUUUUACUCAGUGUUAUAAAACAGAAACAAGAAGAUGACAUGCUCGAGGCCCAACAGCAUCAACUAUCACUUUGGCAUCCUCCCCGCCGCCCCCCAGUGCUUUGCUGUGAGUUUCCCUGAGGGUUUGGGUAGUCUCACACAGGACUCUUCAGCUGAACAAGACAGUAAGAUUCCAAGACUGGAUUACAUAGGUGGCUGGCAGCCUUUCUUUUUGUUUCUUUCUUUUUUUCUUUUUAUUUUUUUUAAUGUUUAGUUUUGAGAGAGAGGGAAAGGGAGAGAAAGAGUGGGGGAGGGGCAGAGAGAGAGGGGGACAGAAGACUGGAAGUGGGCUCUGUGCUGACAGCAAGUGAGUUGAUGUGGGGCUCAAACUCACGAACUGUGAGAUCAUGCCCUGACCUGAAGUUGGAAUGUUUAACCGACUGAGCCACCCAGGCGCCCCUGGCAGCCUUUCAAGUAAAUUCUAUUUUUUAAAGCCCAUAUACUUUACUCAUAAUUGAGUUAUCUGCUGGUUGGGGAUGGGGGGGGGGGGAGGUGUAUGAAAUCACAGAGUUCCAAGAGAGAAAAAUAGUAAAUUAGAUCGAAAUUUAUCCAAAAGACUUAAUAUGUGAUUUACCUGUGGGCCAGUUCCUGGUUUCAAGUGAAAACCAAAAACAAGUUCAAGGUUCACGAUUUUUUCCUCAUUUUCUUUAGGUUCAUCUACUGAGUCCUAAAACAGAAAACCAAGCACUAUUUACUCUCAAUAGUAUGUAGUGUCUUUUUUUUUUUUAUUUCAUAUAGAAGAGAUGAUUUCUCAGUACUAGUGUUUCCAUGCUAACCUAUUGUUUAAUGUUUGAUAAUUUGGAUCAAGCUACAAAUGACAAUUCUUUAAAGCAAGAGAAAUGACAUCUUAAGCCUUUGAGAACAUUUCCACAUGACUUACCUCAUGCACUACAAAUUGAAUGUCACUGUCUUACAUGUUUCACAAUGCAUCUUGCAUUGUACAGUUUUACUCUAGCAAUGCACUUAGCACCUGGAGAGAUGCACUAUGAGACUUCACUCUGAGAGUUCUUAACACUCAAGAUAUUUGCAAGCAAUUCCCAAAGAGGAACUGUGUACUUGCUAGAACAGAUGAAGGUGAAGGGCCAAGAAAAGAAACAAAAGGAACCUUCUGGAGUUUAGAGGUGGAAAACCAUAGUUAGUGAAUGAGAAGAGCUCUGUGUAUUAAUUGCAAACACGUACUGUAUAAAAACAUGUGCCAUAUACUUGUAGACUGGAUUCAAAAUAAUAAGUCAAAUAUAUGUUAUUCAAACAAGACAUCUCCUACCCCCUGCACCCAAUGCAAGUGAUAGAUAAUCCAGAGCCCUACUAUGUGAAUUCCUUUAGUGACUUAUGUGCUGGACAAAGGUUUCUGGAGACAGGUGGGAGGCCAUUGUACUAAUCUACAAUGUUAGUAUUUAACAUCCGUGAGUCACUAAGGUGACAUGUGUUGUUCUUAUCAUGAAUACACUGUUAAUAUUUCAACUUGUAGGAAUCAAGCAUGUUGAAUUUAUGCACAUCCUAAGCUUCACUCAAAGGGCCUUUUGUUAGAGAAUAAUUAAAGUUUGCUUCAAACAACAAUUCCCGACAUUGGCAAAUUUAGGUGUGGAUGUAGCAGGUGCAUACAUCAAUAAAGUAGCCCAUUCUCGGUGAGAAAAACACCUUACUUACCUUAAUCAGUGGUGGGAAGUGAAAUAAGUUUAGGUAAUCGUGGGUUAAUUUCUCAAUGGCUGACUGUAAAAGCAAAAACAAAAACAAAAAAACAUGACUUUAUUAAUGAUCCGACAGUGCCAAGAGAGGAUUUAAAUUAUUGUGCACAUAUAAAGGCAUUCUUUAUGUAGCCCAUAAAAUAUCUUGGGGAUGUUAAUAUCCAACAUCUAUUGAGAAUAAAGCUGUUCAGAGUAUUCUAGGUAGUUCCUAAUUAUUUAAUGGAACAGGCAGAUAUUUUAAAGAUGUUAAGUCUCAGAGUACACAGUAAAUAAAACCAUUCUUCAAACACUGGUAGAGUAUACUGGCGACAAGUUAAUGUUGUAGUGUGCAGAAUGCAGUUGUCACCCUGAGUAACUGUGGGAAAAACAACAAAGAACAUGAAUAUAUCACCAGAGACUUUCAUUAAGGCUGAAAUCUCACUAAAGGGUUUAUUGCAUGGUAAGGGCUUUACUAUGGGUAUGUGUCCAAUGCUCCCCCUGCCCCCACUGAAGCACAAAGAACUCUUGAAGGAAAGGGCAACCAUUUAAAUUAUUUUUUUAUACUCCUCAGGUAUAAUCCAGCUUUUCUGUGAACAGAACGUAUCACGUAGAGAGUAAGAAAGUGCCAAUGUGAGAAAAAUUAGAUGCAUUUUUCAAAGUGAAAUGAAAGCUGUUGACACUUGACAAUGUAAUGAACACUUACGGAUGUUCAGCCCCAUUCCCUCCGCACGGCCCCUCCACGUGAAGGCUUCCAGGCACAGGGAAGAAGGAUGCUGAGACAGGUUUAAAGGGACAACGAAGUGGCAGAGGGGUAGGUAGAAAGACUGUUUAGUUUCAUGACCUACCAUUUAAGGGUUGAGAGUCUCUUUGAGAAAGUACACAGCGAUGAUUGUGCUUUCCUUGGUGACAGCAGAGAAUGGAGGGCACAUUCUCAUUGUCUGUGUGAGUGUGUGUGUGUGUGUGUGUGUGUGUGUGUGUGUGUGUGUGUGUGACAAGCCUGACAAGUACCAGGAAGGCUCCUUUAGUCUGGAGGUAUUCACCUGGUGUCCUAUCCCCAGAGGCCCAGCUCAAAGCAUUAUUUGUCCUCAUAUCCCCACAAAUGUUUGCAGGACCUCCCAGAACAAGCCUCCAUCAUCCUUUUCUCUUAAUCCUUCUCUGUCAUACAAGCUUUUUUGUCAGAAAUACCCACAACCCGGCUGAGUUAAGAGUGUCACAUGUUGGCUGAGUCUCCCGUGAGUGGCCAGUAACCUAGCUGUGGCUUUGGCAGUUAGGUGGAUCGCCUGACUUUUGAGACUCACCUCUCUGGGAACUGUCUUUAUGCACAUAUGCAUUCUCAUCCAUGAGUUUCAGGGGAGUCUUGGGUCCCCCCUGAUACUGGUCUGCUCUCUGUUUUGGAGCUCAGGGCAGAUACUCUGCUUCAUGAGCAGAGGACAUUGCACUGACCCUACCCCAACCAGCUGCCUCCAGUGAGGGCUUUCCCUUCAUGCAGGUGUUUCAUGGCUUCUGUGCAGCAUUAGACUCUGUUUUUAUAAAGCUUUUUAACCUUUGGCUUCUGUAACACCAUUCUCUCCUCCUUUUCCUACUUCCUGGGUGGGCAUUCCUCUUUUCCUCCUGCCUAGGCUCCUAGGAUGUCUCCUUGCCACAUGCAUCCUUCUUGAAGGCCCAUCGUCUGUCAAAUAGAGAAAGCUUCCCCACUGGAAGACUGUUUGUGGUCAAGCGUGUACAUGCCACUGUGCUUUCCUUCUUUUUAUUUAUUUAUUGAGGUGAAAUUCACUGUCAUGAAAUUAACCAUUUUAAAGUGCUGAAUCAGCAGCAUUUAGUACCUUCGGAGCAUUGUGCAGCUAGUACCUCUGUCUGGUUCCAAAACAUUUGGGGACCCUGUGCCUAGUAGCAGUCACUCCUGACAUUCCCAGCUCCUGACAACCACGAAUCCAUUUUCUGUAAGGUGGAUUUACCUAUCUUCUGGAUAUUUCAUGUAAAUGGAAUCAUACACUAGGUGACCCUUUGGGUCUGGCUUCUUUCAUUCUGCAGGAUGGUUUUGCGGUUAUGCUACGUCACGGCGUGUGUUCACUAGUUUUCCUUCUUGAACCAGCAAAUAGAUCUGUUACCUGUGGAAUCCUUCCCAUCUCUAUUCACGUUUUCGUGACACUUAGCUAGGCCUUCUUACUUUGUAUCAUAACCUCUGAACUGGUCUUUCCCAACCUAGCCUCUCCUUUCUAAUCUACUUCACAACUUCCAGAAGCAAAGUUUUCAACAUGUCAGUUCUCAAAACUUCCAAUACUCCCUGCAGCUGGUCGGACUCCAGACCCCUGGCCUGAAGCCAUGAACUGGCCUGAAGCCACUGCACAGAAGCCAUGAAACACCUGCAUGAAGGAAAACACCUGCAUGAACUGUCCAGGAUCUGGCCUCACCUCCCUUCCACCCUCUGCGGCACGAGGCUUCCACCAGACACAGCCACCUAUUGUUCCUUGUAGUGAACCAGUUUUUUCUGUUCUCUCCUGUUUCCUUCUCUCUGAACUCCUUAUUCUGUCUAAAUUCAUGUUCUUGCCUUUCCUGCGCCUGUGUGCAUUCCAAAUUCUGUCCUUCUUCAAGAUCCAGCUUGGGGACCCUCCCCACUCCAUGAAGGUUUCCCUCUGGCCGACCCCCCCCCCCCCCCCCCACCGCCCACAGCCCCUCCCAAGCAGAGGCAGUGAAUGGUUCCUUUCCUCCCAACUGCCAAGACUCUUUAUCAUGAGAAGUUGCAUGUACAUGUUUUCUCUUCUCUGGGGCGUACACUCCUCAAGGGCAGGAUUCUUCUCCGUAUCUGCACAGGCCCAAUCUUGCAGGUAGUAGGCAUUCACUGAAUUUGUUGAACAAUAAUAAGUUUGGACGUUGCUUGCCCUAAUGAUACCAACCAGCAUGGAGGGGGCACUGUCUCUUAGGCCCACUCGGGGGUAUUUAAAUCACUAUUGCUCUGUGAUUUAAAGCUUGCCACCCUCUUUCCUCCUGACAGCUCCUUAAGGAAUGUUGGUCCUUUUUCAAAGACAGCAGAGGGAAAGGGAGGUCGGAGCAUCUUACUUGUCAUCUGCCAAAUAGGACAGGAUUUACCACAUUGCUCUGUUGGAAACUUGAAACUUCUCUGCACUAGAGAAAAUAAUUUUUCCCAUCGCAGCCCAUCUGAGCCAGCUUAGCUUUUCAGGAUGGAUGUGCCCACACCCAGAGGUCGAGAUUAACUUACUUGCCAGCCUCUGAGAUGUAUGUUUAUGAAUGAGGUUUCCUGCCCUAUUCUAAGAGGGAGAAGAUGGUGAGGUUAAGGCUAAGCCAUCAUCCAACAGGUGCUUGGGCUGUAAGGACAGUCCUUGCAUGGGCCCAGGGCUCGCAGAACAGAAGUAGAUGGGUUCUCUUUGGACCUCAGAGGGGAUUUCCUUAGAAAGGAAAAAGCCACACCGGUGGCUUUAACUGAAGUAAAGGGAAAAGCAGUUGACGUGUUAGUAGAGACUUUGUGAGAUAGGGUUUGGCUAGGAAGCUGCUUUUUCUACCUUCCUUCUUUGACUUCUCUUCUUUCUAACCUAUGCCCACCCCUCCAUCCACCCACAAUGGGGUUGAGAAGGUCCAGGGAACAAACUGAUUUUAUCCUAAAAUCUCUCUUGAAACACACCUCUAGUAACAGCGUCCACACAGAUGCCAGCAAUUAUUUGGUUUGGGUAACUAAAAAACAAGACAAAGAAACAGAUCUGGUUGCUACCUACCAAAAAAAGAAAAGAAAAGCAACAGCACCAAAAACAGGUUUAGCUUUUAAAGUGUUCAAGACUUCAGUCUGGGGGGACAUGUUAGGAUUUCCUGAGAAAAUGAAGGAUUAGAAUACACACGUGGUGUGUCCGUUCCGGGUCAAAAUUACAAACACUGCAAACUGAACACACAUUCCCAUGAGGUUAGGUGCUACAGUGGCUUAGCUUUCACUCCGCACAGGCCCAGCAUCCUUAGGGAUUCCUAAUGGGCAGCCAGCCUCUCUGGCCUUUAAGGGAAUCACCAGCUGUCUUCCCGGGUGGACGGCCGGUCUGCAGGCACCGGACAAAGACGUCUCCAGGGCCUCCCGGCCCACUAAGCUGCCUCUCACACCACAGCCUUGCCACUGGCGGUGCCUUCCCUUUCAGAACACCUCCUCCCCUGUAUCCCCUUCCCCUGGUUUGCACCUGCUUGUCUUUAGGCUCUCAGCUCCUUCACAACUUCUUUGCAAAAGACUUUCCUCAUCUCAACCUCACUUCUCCUUUGUGGCAUUUCCUACAGCUGUCUUUUUAUCACGAUUGCAUGAUCAAUCCCUGUCUUCUCCACUGAACUGGGGACUUCCUGAGGGCAUGGAGUGAUAUUCAGGUGUAUCUAGGUGACUUCUGCUGUGCUGGGUUGGAUUAUGAGGAGGGAGUGGGGGUCCCAUGGGAGCAGAGGCUAAUUAUCAGCUGGUAUGGGAGUAUGUCAGCACCGUAACAGCCGAUUGCACUCGCGUGUGUAUCCUCAGCCUCUGACAUGACACAAGGUCUGCUACAUAGUAGGUGCUCAGUAAAGAUUGUCAACCAACUGUCCUCCCUCUCUGAGGUACCUUCAGGUGGAUGAUGUGCCCCUUGGAGACAAUGCCCAUGUCCUUCAAGUCUUCUUCCUCCAGAAGAAGCAGUCGCUUUCCUGUAAUGUUGUUUUCCUUAAACAAGCUUGCAUAUAUGCUCAUCUCUUCGGAAGAGUCCCCUGAAGGAAGGGAUUAGAAGGCAGAACAAAAUGAGAUGAAACCAUGCCCUGAGCAAAGUUAACUGCAUGAAUUAAGAAGGUAAGUUAUUCUACUUGCCUUUUCUGACGAGCUGCUGAACCCAAAAAUACUGUGAAAGAGAGGACACAUAUGGAUUUGAAGAUUCACACACGGUCAGUGGCCUGACUUCACAGUAAAACACACUUUUCAAUAGAUUAAAAUAUCUGUAGUUUUGCAAUGUAAGUUUUGGCUCAACCACCAAGGUAAAAUGAAAGGCAUUCUCUUUAUGGAUUUAAAACAUCAAGCUCUCAAAUUGGAGAUACCCCUCCCUGUGGACAUCUUGGGAUACUUGAGGAAAUGUGGGUUUUGCUUUUUAUUUGGGAGAUUUAAAAAAAGCCUUCAAGAAGGUUCUUAACUUAUAAUGACUUUUCUCUUUAUGUGCUGGUCAUCCCCGGAGCUACUGAGGGGUACUGGUUUACCCAGGAAUUGUGUGGGGAGCAGGAACCACACGGCAGUGGACAGAGAAGUGGGCAGAAUAUGCUAUGUCCUAGGCCUGGUCAGGAAGUAGCUCUGUGGCCCAAGACAAGUUAAAGCAUGGAGCUUCCUGUAUAGAAUGAAGUUGGACCCAGUGACCCUCCGUCCUUGAAUAUCACUUGGCACGUGUUUACUGGUAGCCUCUCACAUAGAAGGGAGGCCAGACCCAGUCCCAGCAAUUCUCUGGGGGGCCCUUGACCCUGGGAUUUUAUUUACAUGGCUUGAAAACCACUCGACCUCAGAGCAAAGACUAAAAAUAACUGUUAGAGCUCAGUGCUUUUUAAAAAAUUUCUUCUCAAAUGAGAUGGGCCAACUUUCCAGCUGGGGAUAAAGGGAUUAUAUCCAGACCCAUGAAUAGAUCCUAAGUUCUUUUUCCUUGUUAACAAUCCGGGCUGGUGGGAACUUUACCAACAACGAGGCCCAGUGAAUGGGAAGAAGUAGAGGCAAGUGGUGCCAAGUUUCCUCACCCUAUAGAAGCCAAAGAGGUUAGCUAAUGUUGAAAGCAGUUUUACUUCACCAGAGCAUGGUGGGCAAGGAGGAAAACGCCCCAGUCCAGAAACCAGGUUGAGGUAGGUAAACAGACCUUCCUAAGAGUUUCUAGCAGUGAAUUUGUACACUGUGGCAUCUGGUCUGUUCUCUGGGGUGAGGGCUUGCUAAGGCUGGCAUUACAGCUGUUUUUCUUUUUCAUUUAAUGGGACUUGAGCCUAUAAAAUGGACCUGGACAAGUAUAAGCCCCUGAGGUCUCUGAUCAAGAAUUCUCCAGACUUUUCACUAAAGAAGCAAAUACAGAGACGCAACAGGCUAAGAAGGAUUGUUCCUUAGGGUCUCUACCCAAGUGUAAGGUAUAGAACUUCCUCUGGACUUAAGUAAUCUGUCCUCCUCUGGCUGCAGCUGCAGAGGAUGUCUGGGAGCUUGCAUCCAUUCUUCCUGGGAAAGGCCAGAGGACAGAUGCACCCGUCACUUUCAAACAGGCCUAAGGUAGGAAGGAAACCCAGUUCAGCGGAAUCCCAGUCUAGAGCUGCCUUUCCCAGAUCUUUCUCCACUGUGGUUCCAGUCCGUCCCUGGUGUUUUAGGAAAACUUAAGAUCAAACUGUUCUCACGUUUGUUCAUUUGGUAUCCUGGAUCACUCCUUUAACUUUGCCAUUGGUAUUCAUUAUAGUAUUCUGGAAUACCUUUCAGGGCAAAUAGGGAGGUGGAAUCCUCUUGUAAGAUUUGAAGAGAUACUUGCCUUGCUCUUGAGGCCUUAUUUUAAAUCAGUACUGCAUUAAAAAUAGAAAAACAAGGAAUUUGUCAACUUCUCCUAGUUAGAUUUUCUUAAGGCCCCGACCCCUCCAGCUGCAUCUGUAACUUGUGGACCAAUGUCUGAAAUACCUGCCCAGGUCAAAGGAGGCAUUAACAGAAGCCGCUUACCACGUCCUCUUCAGUCCAUGAGCCAAUCUCAAAGGAAGGCAGCAGCUGCAUGGGAAAUACGAAUGCAGUGAAAAACACAAGUAAUAUUAUCAUUGUCUUUUUGGCUCAUCUCUUGUCUCCCCUAUUUUAGCUUUUGGCCGCUGCUCUGGCUCGGUUUCUUCCUUGGCAGGUUAGGUUGAAUGGCAAGCAGUUCUCCUGACCUUGAGGGGAAUUUCUCAUCGCUCCAAGCAUUUACCCACAGAAGCCAAUCCCAGGCACCAGCUUGUCAGUAACAAUUCAUUGCACUUGGUGAGCUGUUGCAGCAGGGGCUGUAGAUCUUGAGACUGUCCCCUCUCGGUACUUGGCACACCAAGAGUAGACUUCCCUCCCACAAUAGGGUUUGACGGUCCAGGAGCUUCUGACAUUUGCCAGAUACCAGAGCCUCCCUUGGAAUUCCCACUCAGCAUGAGGAUCAUCGGAUUGUUCAUGAAAAUUCUGAAGCAACACUUUGGUAAUCAGAUGACCUUUAUGCUGCUGCUGCUGCUACUUUUUUUUUAUUUUUUAUUUUUUAAAUUUUUUUCAAGAGAAUAUUAAAUCGUUUAUUGACUACACAUGAUAAUGGACGAUACACAAGCUUUAAUCCCAUCUAUAAUUUUAUCUGAUACCAUAAUUCAAUUUAGAUAUAUUGCAUAGGAUGUGCCAACAAUCCUAUUGAUAACCAAAUAAACUCCAGGACUUUGCUUGGGUGACCCUUUUAACGGUGAACUCCAGGUCACAACACAUUAACUGUCAGUUCAACCACACCAGUGUUUGUGGAGACAACGGCUUCUGUUGCAGGUUGCAAAUAAAUUUCAAAUGGAACCUGGCAUCACCCUGAUGGAAUUCUAACUUCACACUGUUGCGGUAGUUUACCAAGAUGAAAAGACUUUAUUUUUUUUUAAGUAAUAUCUACACCCAAUGUGGGGCUUGAACUCAAAAUCCCAAGAUUAGGAAUUGCCUGCUCUACGAACUGAGCCAGCCAGGCAUCCGUAUAUGCUGCUGCUUACAGGGGAAUUUCUAAGUGGUUAGCCAAAUGACUCACUUGCAUUAUAUUUUUAAAAGGAAAUAUUAGGAUCCAUGGAUGAAGAAGGACGGGUGAAACUGGAACUAUCGUCCCAAGAAACCCACAUUGCAGAGUUUGCUCUAAUGAAAACCACUAACCUCUCUCCUUUUCAGAUGUAGACAUGAAAGACUUUGCAAAAGGACUUUGGCCUGCAUCAUUUUCAAAGCCAAAGAGCUACUUGCUUCAGUAUAUGCCCAUGGCAAUAGACUAAAUGAUAAACGCCUACAUAAUUUGAAAAAAAAAAUUGUGUCCUAUGUCUUGAAUUAGAGUUUGCCAUACCCUUUAGCUUUAACUAACUUAACUUGCCAGCAUGGUUGGAUUGCUUAUAAGGUAACAUGGCAGUGCCUUUCAACCUUUGUUACAAAUAACAUUUUUUUUUUUUUUUUUUGGGUGAAUGAAUUGAAAAACAAAGUUGAAUCUGGUUGCUUUUACUAUUAGUGUAAAAAUCGGAAGGUGGGUGAGUUUCUAAUCUGCAAAUAUUUUGAACUCACAUGCUCAAAACCAUACUAGGAAAGGUAUGCUCCUCCCUUUAAGGAGCUUUUAAUUUAAUUGGGGGUGAAACAGAUACGGAUUAUAGAUGAAGGAGUUUAAGGCUACCUUCGUGUUGGCUCACUCAGUGCCUAGCAGAGUGCCUGGCGUACAAUACUUGGUAAAUUUUUGUUGAACCAUUUCAUUGAAUGAAUCCAGCUGCAAGGUGCAUUUACUAAAAUGCUGAAUCCUCUGAUAGAGAAUUCAGUGUGUGCGGGUAUACCAGGGAAAAGGGAGGGUUUCAUAGACCAAGAUGGGAAUGGAAGGCAUGGUGACUUGAGCUGGGUACUCUAGGGCACAAAGAACAGAGAUGUGAUUCUACUUGAGGAGAAGCAGGAAGGCCAGACAAUGGCACUGGUGUUGGGGACAGGAGGGAAGGGGGGCAUGGCAUGUUUGCCUUACUGGAGCACUGGAUGCAGCGUGUGUAUAUUGGAGGAUAAAGGGGAAAUGCUUAACAUCUUUGCUUAAAAUGCCUAAAUUCUCUCUGGCAAUGAUUAAAAAUCUCUAGGGAGCCAAUCAGAAUUUUUGUUGUAAACCCACAAGUUACAAUAUAUUUGAUUGUGUACAGUUUGAGUGUUCUAGCUGAGUUGUAAGGGCAUAAAUCACGACCGGUCUGUAUAUAUUCUGCUACCCCCCAUGUACCCCAGUUCCCUCAGGAUUGCCCCUCUCCUCUGAGAUACUGGAUAUAGGUAGGAAUCUUCACAUGCACUCACCUGCUUCAAUAAUGCAGAAAGGAAAAUGACUUGAGGAAGAAAAAUCUAAAACUGAAUUUGACCAAAGAAUAUACAUGACAUUUUAUUUGUUCAUGGGGCAGCUGAAUACAGCUGCAGGAACAUGUCAUUCCCUUUUCCCAUCACGGAAACAAAUGUGAAAUAAGGAACUUUUUUGAUGAGUUCAAGGAACAACAGACUGACUUUACAGAACUCUUUCCCUGCAUCAAGGUUGGCCUCUAUAGGGAGUGGGGGGAUAUGUGGUGGUUUGAUUUUUAUACAAUUCCCAAAUGUUGUGCUAAGCAAAAUCGUUAAGUAUUUCUUGAAUAAAGGUUGUAAAUGAAACAACUAAUCAAAACCCAUCAUAUUUGGUUUUAAGGUCAAAAGGAGAGGGGAAGAGUUCUCUUGCCCUCCUAGAGUGGCUCGUCAAGAGUACGCCAAGGGAAAGGCAUAGAUUCAGUUUGAUAAUCACUCUGGCAGGAUUCUUGCACAAGGCUUGCAGAGAUCAGUGAUAGGAAGGCUGGAGCCAGACACUGCUUCAAGACAGUUUGAAUUUGGCAAGAUGGGGGUAAGAGUUAAUGAUCUCUAGCCACAUAGUGGUUUACCAUUUCCUUUAUGCUUUCUGUACCUUCUUAGCAUGUCAGUGUAUCUGCUGUAGCAUGAGUUCUAAGCCUUUUGUUCUUUUGAGGAUAAGAAAAAAUCCACCUCGUGACUGCCCCAUCACUUUACAAAUUCAUUAUUUACACUCAACUGAUUUCAGGAGAGAAAAGCUCACAUUCAUGUGCAUGCGUGUGACCGUGAUUCCUUCCAAGGAUGUUGGGAAAUCCCAUCUAACAAAGAUCUGAUAUACACAGCAACACAUAACAAAGGGAUUUACUGUCAAAACGUUUAUUGCAAAAUGGAGUCUUAAAACAAAGAAAAAAGCAAAGAAAAGUUCACAUCAAAAUGAAAUGUAUGACACCAACUUGGAUUUCUGAAUACAUUGUGGACUUGUGCUGGAAUAUCAAAUUCCAACUAUGAAAUCAAUAACUGAGUAGUCUUACCACACACGAGUGAUAUGUAAUCUCCCAUACAAACAUUAUACAAGAUAUUUGGCAUAGGAUUUGCUCAGAAUAACAUUGCAACAGAAUAGUUGAGAAAAAGGCUUUGUUAAAAAAAAAAAGUGAUAAUGCCAUCUAUUCAAAGCUCACACUCAAAGAAUAUAAAUAUUUCCUAUUUAGUACAAAAUUUCUAAAAGAGUGCAAAAGCAAUAUGUGCAGUGUAUUGUAUCUGACAUUAAAAGUUAAACUGUUCUGCACACAAUAUAAAAUAAUUAAUGUAGGUGCUUGAAACACUAGUUUUAAAGUCAAUAAUCACAUGCCAGAAAGCUCCUCAUAGGCAAUAGUGUGCAACUGAUAGUUGAAGCAUAAACGAACAUGGCUAGCUAGCCCUUCAGAUUUCCUGGUACACGCUCCUUUUUCAUCACAGAAAUGCUACAGCUAUCAGGCUAGGCCACAAUUGAAAGAACAGAACAGAUUGUUCUUUCUGGCAACGCUUAAAGUCUAAACAGGAAAACAGUCUUACUCAAAAGCAGCAAAAGGUGCCUGAUUAUAGAAAAAUUAUGCUCUCUCAUAUGUGGUAGAGAAUGUGCUAGUUUUCAAAUGCUGCAACAAGUCUAGCGUAUCAAAACCCAAAAAAGUCUCAAUAUUUAACUCAGAAUAGCUUUUAAAAUGAUCUUUCAUGAAAUUCUUACUACAAUGAAAACUCUGAAAAAUACUUAUGUACAUCAUAGUUCUAGGAGAAGUCAUUCUGGAUCUCUCCCAAAUCUUACGUCUGAUUCCUUGAUUUUAAUGGGAAUCAAUUUUGAAUUAACUCAGCUGGUGUUAAAAUCUAACAGAUUUGCUGCAUGUUAAACAUCACUGGCUAAAAACUGGCCCUCAACAUUUCCAGAGGAUCCAAAACAAGUGUCCUAUGUGCCUUCAACUCUUCCCAUUGGUUAUUAAUGUAAACUAUUAAAAUGUGAUUUUACUUAACACACACACCCACACAUACACACACAGCCCUUUUAAAUUAACCUGGCUGCUUUGAAGAACUAUAGCUCCCUCAGUGAUGUUUUCCUUUUUUACUUAUUUUGGAAUUGGUGUAACAGAGUGACACUAACCCCCACCCCAGGUAAAUUUUGCUGUUUUAUAAAGUUUCCACCAGCAUUCUUAAUGGGAAAGAAACCAUUUCCACAAGGGAGGAUUUAAGAUAAAUGCCACAAACCUAUAAACUAUAGAUUGUACAGUAGUUGUAAUUUUAGAAAUGCAUCUUUUGACUAGAGCAAUUUUGAGGGAGAAAAAUUUGAUACAGAACUGUAAAACUGCCAGGUUUAGCAAGUUUCUUAAAGGGGAAAGGGACAAUGCUAUUGGUAAAUGGAAUUCUUUAUUGGGUGGGACUGUCCCUGGCAUGCAGGAUGUUACCAUUUUUGGCACUGGGCAUUAAAUACACCCCAGUCACUGUGACAACCAAAAAUAUUCUCCAGCCUCCCCCCCCCCCCCCCGCAAACAUCAUUAGGUGCCCAAGACGAGAAUGGCUGGUAGAGAGUCAUCAAAUUCUAGAUUGUCAACUUUAUGAAUAUAGAAAAAGAGAUGAAAAAGAGUAAUUAUAUUUUCAGUUGUAGGACUCUGAAAAUUAUGACAAUUUAGAGUUUCAAUUAUUAUUGUGAAUCUUUAAAUUUCUUAGUGUUUCUUUAUAAGUAUACACUUUUGGAAGUCAAGUAAUUGGAAAUAAAUCCAACAUCAACAAUUUGCCAUUUGAAAAACUGAUUUGAAAAGUGAAUUAGAAGCUGUACAAUUAACAUCAUUAUAAAAUGUGCAUAAUAAACAGUUCCUUUGAAAAGUAAUAAGAGUCUAAAGUCUUCUAAAUAAUCUUCACAGAUAGAGUGAGACCACUUUAAAAUUUUGUUUAUAGGAUUUAGACUUUAGGGAUGUUCAAAACCCUAGAAAGGGACUUAUCUGAAACAUAAAGUAAUGCUGUAUGAUAAUUACCUAUAAUAAAAUACAAUCCAGGUGGAGAACAAUUUCAAGCUUAUCACUGAAGUUUUCAAUUCUGCUGUACCCUAAAUCCCUGAAUACUGGUGAGGAAGAUGACAGCAGUGGAGAGAUCAGGGAGAUAUUCCCUAAUUAACGGUAACCCCUAGGUCUGAGUAGAGUCCUAUUACCUUUCUCUUCUAGCCCUAUUUGGCUGCUUGUAUUAAUGCACCGAAACUUUAUGUGUAAUUACGAUAGAUUUAUAUGUAAAUUAAGAAAAAAAUGUCAGUUUCAUUCUGUUUAUAUGUUCUAAAUUUGUUGAUGAGGAUUCUUGAAUGAGAGGCAGGGUUUACAUUCUUACAUAAAGUGCACAGAUCUCAAAAUUAGCCCACAGACAUUCCCUGAUCAGUGAGGCCUUGUCCGACCACACUUGAAAACCCACAACAUUCCUCCGUGUGUCAUCUUCUUCCCCUGCUCCGUUUUUCAGCAUGCACUUAACAAGUGUUUACGUACUAUAGAACCCACUUGUUUUGUUUACUGUCAGGAUCUCUGCUCACUAGCAGGUGUGCUCCAUGAGCACCAGGGUCUCCCUCUAGCUGGUCCCUGGAACAGUCCCUGGCACAGAGAAGGGGCUCAAUGAAUAUCUGUGGAAUGACUUUAUCUUUCUCUAGAAAGAUGUGCAAGAGGCUUUUAAACUACUUCCUACUUGGGGCACCUGGGUGGCUCAGUCGGUUGAGCGUCUGACUUCAGCUCAGGUCAUGAUCUCACAGCUUGUGAGUUCGAGUCCCACGACGGGCUCUGUGCUGACAGCUCGGAGCCUGGAGCCUGCUUCGGAUUCUGUGUCUCCCUCUCUCUCUCUCCCCCAACCUACUCGCAUUCUGUCUCUCUCUCUCUCAAAAAUAAACAAACAUUAAAAAAAAAUUUUAACUACUUGCUCCUUGAUUCUCUCCUCCAGGUUGCUGGACUACAGUGCCCCCAGGGCAUGCUGGGAAGUCAAGAGUUGAAAACCACCCCUCUGCUUGGCUCCCAGAUGUUCAGCUUGAGGGGCUCAGCUUGAGUCAAGGAGUGCUCCUCUUACGUCUGCGCACGGACAGGACACCUGUUGAGGUUUGUGCCUGUUUGCCGGCAGCACUGUGUAGUGUGCAUCUGUGAAUGGCUGCAUAGACAGAAGGUGUACUGGAUUGGGUAUGGAGGGAACCCAUCUCCCAGGGGAAAGACUUACCUAUUCAUUCUGUUUUUACUUAGUCUAUGGGUGGUUAGCAGGGCCUGCAAACCCCUCAGGUAUGUAGUCUUCAAAGAACACCAGGUUAAAUUUGUUUAUAUAGUUUACGUUCUAAGAAUGCUUUCUUCAUCUUUCCCAAAAGCUGUUUACUUUAACUUUCAUCGCCUACUACUCAAUAAGUAUUACUUGAAAUUGAUAGUUUAGUUUUCCAGGUUACUGUAACCACUUAUUUUUCACUGGCAUAAUGAAGACUUGCUAAAGUUAACUGACCACUUCCCAUGGGCCUGGUUCUGUGUUAAGUGCUUUACAUGUAUUAUUUCAUUUAAUCCCUUCAGCAAUCCUUUGAAGUGGGUACUGUUACCAUUCCCAUGGCAAAAAUGAGCAGACAGAUACGCAGGUUAAAUAAUUUCUAACAGAUUACACGGCAGUUUUGAAUCAUAAUUUGACUACAGAUCCUUCUCUUUAUCACCAUGGCAUAUAGACUGUUCUGCAUUUCACACCCCAGGACAUUUUAAUAGUUAUUUUUCUCCAAAUAAAGCUGGCACAGUGUACUGAUCAUUUUGUGGUAUUUUUCAGCUGUUAAUAGGGAUUAGAAGCCUGUCAUGCUUCAAAUUUCCAGAGACUUUUCCUGAUUGAGUAUACUUGGAAAUAGUAUUAGAUAAUAUCUAUGAUGAUAUCCUUUCUUAAAUUCCCCAUAAAAAGAACUACCAAAAGUGUUUUAGUUUAAUAGUCAAAUGAAUGGCCCUUCUUUCCAAAAUAGGCUGAAAAAAGUUUUUAUUCUUUUGCCUUUCUUGAUAUAGGACUACAAAUGUUUUGUAGUUUGUUUUGUUUUUUUCAAACAGUGUUUUAUAGCUUUGACAAAUGUGAUAACAUUCUGAGAACCUCUCUCUGGAGUACUAGGUUUUCAGACGGCACCUACAUUCACUUCCAUUUAUCACCAGUGUGGCUCAAUCCAGGUCAAAAAAAAAAAAAAACCCAAAACACUGGGAGGCUGGAUCUGAAUUAAAAAGGACCCUUCAUCCUCCACGUCUGUCUCAGUAGAUAUAAUUUACCUUCCCUCUUCCCUUUAUAUAUUUAGUUCCCUCUUUAAAACAUCUCUGCCUAUAUUUAGAACCCAGAAUGAUCAUGCCCCUGUGGAAAAAGAACAUGCGUAUAUCCUUACUGGCAGCGCAGAGCAGGUCUGUAUUAGCACUUGAGCUGCCCUGCCUGUAAGUUUCCCUUUAAGACCAUACCCUUCUUUUAUAAACUACGCCUCAGAUGAUCGUGUGUUGUUCAGAAGCUUCCAGGGCUAGCACUGGCAUGAAAGCCUGCAACAUCUGCUGUUGGUUUCAAAUUAGAGUAUUUCUUCUUCCAGUAUACUAUUAAGAACAUCUCUCAGGUUUUACUGUGAGUAGUUGUGCUAUUAAGUAUUGAAAAUUCUUGGCAUUUAGGUAUUUCUGAAGUAUUUGUGAUCGCCGCCUUUCAUCUCAAUUUUUUUAUUGUUGGAUUUUGUAGUCACUCUCAAUUAUUUCUGACAGCACAGCAUAUUGCCAGAAGAAAAAGAAAUGUAGUGUGUUACAAGAAAAUCAGUGUCUAAGAAGAAUUAGGAGUUAAGAGUGCUUUUUCAAAAUGUAAGUUUUCUUAAGCAAUUAAAUAAAUGAAAUCAAAUCAAAGUAUAAAGUAUUUGCUUGAAAAAAAAAAGCCAGAAUAUAAUUAGUUGUGAAAAAUACUAUAUUGUAUAAUAGAGUCACAAAUUUCUAUAAUCAGGCACCACAUUUGCUGACUCAUUAAAUAUACCUUUCUGGCUUAACUAACCUCCCCCACACCCCCAUUUUUCUGUAAGCAGGAAAAAAAAAAGUAAAAUCAUUAAAGAAAUGACUGUCAUAGAAAUGUGAUUGGCUUAAAAAUUCCGUGCUUACUUUUCUACCUCCUUAUUGGUUUUCGUACAGACUGAGUAGCAAGUUUCUUUUGGUUUGCCGAACAUUUUCAAUUUUCUUACUUUGCUGUCUGCUUUCAUUCACUAUUAUUAUCCAUGUCAUUAUCCUCCUCAUCACCGUCAUCAUCAUCAUCAUCAUCAUCAUCGUCACCUUCUGACAAGUCAAAAUCACUGAACCCCAGGGCCAUGUUGACCUUCUUCCCCCUCCUCUUAGAUGUGGUUUUGGAAGAAUUCUGCUUGGCUUGCAUGUUUAUCUGCAUCCCAGAAUGCAGCACAGCUCCUGCUUUGUUCAUUGAGAAGAUAUCCCCAAAGCCCAUCAGCAUCAUGGCCUGCAGACUUUGGUUCAUGCCAUGGCCCUCCCCGUUACUUGUUGCUGUGAUCUGACAUGACAUCUCUGCACUGUUUGACUCCUCUGUCUUAGAUUCAAAGUAAGACUCCUCAGACAUUCUUGCAGCAAGAGGCAAGAGAAGCUAUCGUGAGGGAAGAAAGGACAGAAGCAAAAAGAGAAAUUAGGACCAAUUUAAAUAAAGGAAACAGAUACCACAAAAUUAGUGGGUGCUGCACAGAAGGUUGCUUUUCCACAUAAACCGGAAAAGGAGGCAAACUAUGUUAUUCUUUAGACAUUGGAAGAUACUCUGCAACUGGGCACUGGCUGCUUAAUGGUGAUUAAGGCUUUUAAAAAUAGGAAAGCUUUUUGAAGAUCACCAAGUGAAGAGCAUAAGGAAAACUUGCUUAAGUUCUGCCACAUGGAGACUCUUGGACAGCGAGCUGCCUCGGCGUUCCGCUUAUUAAUUCCUGAUGGGCUCUAUGGAGUUAAUCAGCCGUUAGGCACGUGUUCUGGGGAUCUAACAGAUGGCCUGUCACUGUGCUCUGAGAGCUGGAAGUUCCUUCCCUUGAGUUUCUGAAAGGCCUGGAGACAGCUGACUGGUUAUUAGCUGGAAUCAAGUGAACUCUGCAUGGUCAUGACCGGAUGGUAUGGCGCCGGCCACGGUCCGGGAGCAGCGCUGCGCAGAGCGCGCACCACAGCAGGCCUGUGGGACCAGACCACGUGGGUUCUGGUACUGGCUCUUAGUGUAAUCUUGGGCAGGUGACCUAACAUGUCCAUCCAUCUCAUUUUGCUCUGUGACAGAAGUCAGGAUUGCCGUAUGGAUUAAAAAAGAUAAUCCAGAUAAAGUACGAGCAUCUGGUGAGAAUAUAAUAAAUGGCAGUUGUGUGUGUUGUUACUCUAAUAUUAUUCCCUCUGGUUUUAACCAAUUGCCACGUUCAGAUAAAACAGCCCUGCUACUUCUUAGACUGGUUUAAGGGUUCAGGUAAAGAAACAUAUUCUCUCACCAGCUCUCAGGAUCAACUGGUUUCUCAGAGGAGCCAGGGAGGAAGCCAGCUAAGCAACUGCUUGCUUUUUACUAAAACACAUCAAUGUAUUACCAAUGUUAUUUCCCUCAUCUUUUCAUCUUUAGACAUUUAAAAAAAUUUAUUAUUCAACCAUCCAGGUUUGUAGAAAAUAAAGCUAUCCAAAUAGAAAACACUCUCCCCAAAUUUAAUUAUCCACUGGUGUCACUGACCUUUUGACACUUUUAGGUACACAUACCAUCUAAACGUAAAUGUUUAUAGUACAAAAAAUGCAAUCAUUCUAAUCAUACUGGACCCUAGCCUCUAUUUGUAAGUCAUUUAUCAGAUCUGUAUUAUCAUAAACGGCUCCAUCUAUUCUGUAUAUGGAGAUAGCAUCAGUUGUUAAAACCAUAAAAAUCACAAAAAACCAAAAAUCUAUUGCACCUCAUGCCCUUUCUAAUUUACAAUUCUAAAUGACGCUGUGAUAAGCGCGUAUCUGUACAUUCUUGUAUAGCCUUUCAUUUCCUCAGGAAUGGAGUGGUAGUGGUGGAGUGGAGGCAGCCGAUCUAUACUGCCAGACUGUCCUCCAAAAAGGUAGUAGUUUCACCAGCAGUGUACUAGAAAGUUUAUCAUGCUGGAUAUUUUCAUGAUGUAGAUUUUUGCCAAUCUGGCAAAUGAAUUAUGUUCCCUUAUAGUUGCUUGAUUGUACGUGAGGUUAAAUAUUUUCAUAUGUUUAUUGGCCAUUUGAGUUCUCCUUUUGUGAAAUGCCUUUCAUGUCCUUUAGAAUGCUAUAAUUAAAAUGUUAUUUUAAAGGCAGUAACUCUGUCUACCACCGUAGUCUUCCAAGUGUGAUCUGGGGGCCCGUGGGAGCUUUUCAAAGGAUCGAAGAGAUUAAAGUGGUUUUCAGAACAACAUUAAGACAUGACGUGCCUUUUCUCAUUCUCUCACAAGUGCACAGACCCUUCCAGAGGCUUCACGAUAUGUGCCAGUGCCGCAGGCUGAGUGCAGAGACAGGAUUUAUUGUUACUUAAAUGAAUCAAGAGCUACAUACUUAAAUUUUUUCUCAGUUCUAAUUCUGAAUGUGGUAAAUACUGACAGAUCUAACUCACUGCAACUGAAGCUCUUUGUAGUCCUCAAUAAUUUUUCAGAGUGUAAUGGAGUCCUGAGACCAAAAACUUCCGGAACUGCCAAGCUACUAUCUAGGGGGAAAGAAGUUACGGCAGUGUGGCAUUUGUCCUGGAAGUUUACGGUGGGCACUGCUUUUGCCAAAAGGAGGUUUUUACAUUUUUCUAUGGAAGAUUUACCAACUGUCCCCCUAUUUUCUGAUGUUGUUGGCAUAGUUUUAGUAUCAUAUCUCAAGGCUAUUAUAAUACACUAAUUUUAAAAUCCCACUAGUCUUUUGGAUAACAGAUCAAACAGCAUCUCCUCAGGAAAUCCUUUUAUUAUUUCGUCAGACUAGAUUUCAUGGUUGCAUACUCUCAGAUGUCCAGUAAUUCUCUGUCAUAAUUCUUAUCAAAGUAGUAAUAAUAAGUUGCUUGUGCAUCUAUAAUCAGUAGUUCAACGCUAGACCCCCUACUCCAUAUGCACUAGGGCUGUUCUGCUCAUCACCAUGGCACAACACAAGAGCGCCUUGCCUCGGCAGAGGUUCUGGAGUAUGUGAAUGAAUGAGUGUAAGAAACACACCCGUCAAUAAAUCAGCUUACAUAUUUAUAUUCUCUUGUAUGAUAUCAUAAUGUCUUUUACUGUUGCUGCCACCAUGGCGUUUCCCUCCCCAGAUAUCUAUCGAGCAACUGCUGUGUUCAAGGCCCAUUCUAGAUGCUGUAGGUAUAGUAAUGAACAAAAGAUUAUCUGAUCCUUUUACAUUUCAGCCAGAGAGGUACAGAUAAAACAGCAAACUACAGAAUUACUUAUUAAUUCCAAUAGCAGUAGAGGUUCUAAAGGAGAUGCUCUCAGGGCACAUAAAGUAGAACCUCAUCUGAUCCAGGGUCAGAAACACUUCCUUAAAUACACGUUAUUUCAGUUGCUAUCUAAAUGAUGACUAGGAGCCAAGCUGGAUGUGGGUGUCAAGGGUGGUAUGCUGCCGAAAGGGACGCGUUUUAUAUAGAAGAAACUGCAUUUGCAAGGACUCUGAACAAGGAAGAAGUAUGCAUCUACUGAGGGACUAAAAGCCAGAAAUUAAGAGGCAGAACUAUGCUCUUACGGUAAGGCUGCUGAGGUCAGAGUGCAAAGGGUCUCCUGAGUCUUGUGCAGCAUUGACCUUUAUACUAGAGUAAUCCCUUACACGGAUUUGAAACAAGAGUGAUCUGAUUAAUUUGUGCUGGUCUCUUACUGUAGGAAACAAGUAUUAACUUACAUGUUUUGUUAAUUAUUUAAGUCCAGAACGAAACCCCCUCAUACCUACAUUCGAGCAGAGGGUAUGACUUUUGUUUCCCUAAAUAAAAACUGACUUAACUCACUGGCCUCAGAUAGAGAUUUCAAAAGAAUAAAAACCAAUAAGGUUACUGUAAAAGAAUCAUACAGAAAGCCCACGGAAACGUCUAAGAACAGGAGUGAACAACUCGAUGUUUCCAAGGUGCAUGCAGUAUUCAUUGGGCAUCAGCAGGUGGCGUAAGGCGUCACGUUACCGCCAAGGCUAUCAGGAGCAGAGAUAAGUUACUUAAAUCUCUGCUGAGUCAGGGAGGAAUAAUGUCAGCUCCCAAACAUGCUAUUUAUAUAACUGCAGCACGUGACCUGGCUCAACUGUCUCAUCCUGGGCUUGCUCCUUCCACUCACACAUUACAAUUCUCUCAUUAUUAAGUUUGCUUUCCACUUGACAAAAUUUAGUAGGAUUCAUAACAUCAAUAGUUUUCUUUUAAAAGUGUUUUUAUAGUCUCCCUACCUCCUCCAUCAACACAUCCAGUACUCUGCAAACUCCUAGGCAAAUAAUAUUUUUAUUUCUCACUGGACAGAUGCCAAGACUUCCUAAUACAGAGUGUAUGGUACAGAGAAAUGUCUGGUAACUGUCUUCGGUCUCAGGAGAUAUGAUUGUAAUAGUCUUUCCAAAUACUUAGACGUAUGCAAUGGAGGACUUACUAGAUCUCCAAAAAAUUUUAACAUAAGAAACAAAACUCUAGAGUGUCAUCAAGUUCACUGGUUUUCUUCUUCAGUGGAGCUGGACCCGAUCUUUUAAAGCCAGAGGCCGAUCUUUUAAAGUCAGAGGCCAUGACUUGGUGCAAGGCUUACCUACCUCCACUCUGCCUUGUUGUGCAGGAAUGAGUUACACUGGUCAGGAAGGCUAGUAUCAUUUGACAUGGACUCCAGAAUUGAAAUGAUUUGCUUGAAAGAUGGCCGUUUCUGAAAAAGAGAAAAUAAUAAACUUGUUGGGACUUAAGAAAGUAGGUCUUUAAGAGAAAAUCCACAAGCAAAAAAAUAAGCUUGACAUACCAUAACAAAAUAAAAUAGCAUGCCAUGUCCUGACUUAGUUAUUACAACUGUCUGACUACUCAGGUUUAAGGGAACCAUAUUCCUUAUUUUCAAUAAAUUAUAAGAAUAGUCUCGUCAUUUUUCUAUCAUGUGGCCUAAGGCUGGAAUAAUUACAGUUUUUCUCUAGGUACGGAAAAUACAAAUUCUCUUUUGGGUAGGAUUAAGGAGUCCUAAAAGGGAAAAGUUAAAUCCUUUAAAAAUCUUUGUGAUACAGCAAGUUUAGUAAAAGGUAAUGGUGGAGUCUGGGUGACAGGUCUACCUGUGUUCGCCAUAAAAUUCAAUCAACUUUUCUGUAUGUUUGAACAUUCUUACAAUGUUGGGGGAGAAGCUACUUCCUCUGUUAGAACUACUAAAAUUUCCUCAACCACUUGCUGAUAGAAAAAGCCCCCCAUUUUAAAGUCAUUAUGACUUCAUUGUCUGCAGUGUUGAUUCCACAUCAUAACUAGUUUGGGAAGCGGGAAGCUCUAACGCACAGUUUACUAGGAAUUGAAAAAGUGGUGGUUCGGCACAUUUCUUUAGCAGUAACCACACUUGUCUGUUGCCUUAGACUCUAGCCAAGGCUGAGACAAAAGGUUAAAACAAAAAUGGAGAAAGAUAACAAAAGGAUGAUGCACAUUCUGUCUUCAUCAUGCCUCAUAAUUAUACCAUUUCUGAGCAAAUUACAGUUGCAGCAAUUAAAACAUGCAUUUUAAUUUAGGAGCACAAAAACAAGAAGGAACAACGUUGAGGUGGCUUGCUCUUAGGACUUGAGUGCUUCCUACCUUAAGAAAGACAAUUUUUCUACUUCUCAGGAAUAUAAAACUGGGCUAUUCAUUCUGAAUUCUGCCUUCAUUGUAUUCUUUUAAGGGCGUGUGUGCCUGUAUGUGUGUGUGUAAGAAGAGGGCCUAAGUAGCUAAGUGUCGCUGAUACACAGUAAGCCUUGUAAUAAGCAAAGAAGAAAAUGCCUUAAGUAGGAAAUUUGAAAAAUACAGUCUUAACUUUAUUCCUAUUUUAAUUUCUCCUACCACGUGUCAGGCUGUAAAAGGAAAAAUGUUUUAAUUGUUUGCACAGGAACUAAUUAUAUAAUACAGGAUUUUCAUUUUGCAUGGAAAAGCAGUGAGCGGCUAAGAAUAUUUUUCCCUACAUUUAAUCAUUCUUGAAAUAAAGUAAAACUCUUUUGUAAGUAGGUGACAAGUACCCCUAGAAAAACCUUAAUUUUAUAGGUAGAAUACACAAUUAGAUGGAAAUUAUCAAAGUGAACGUUUGAAAAACAACAACAAUAUAGAAUUUUGUGGUGAUGAUGGUUUAUAGAUAUUCUGAUUGCAGAAUACAGUAUUUGGCCCAGGCCUACAUUCCCUUUAGUAUUCACGUAGGUUUUGCUUACAUUAAAAAAAUUACACCUAGGGCCAUUUAUUAAGCAUUUAUAUACAUUAUUUAUUAUCUCCAUUUUGUAGAUAAGGAAAAUCUCAGAAAAAUAUGGAUUGCCCAGUGUCACACGGGAAGCAAGUUACUAAAUCAGGGGCAAGGCUCUUAAACCUUUCAAUAUGUUUUAUCACACGAGAGUAAGAUAUUCCUAUCAAACUCCGGGCUUUAUUCUUUUCUUAUUUAGAAAUGCCAGUUUAGAACUGGAAACUACCCACCUUUACUUCUUUUUUUCUUUGAUAAACUACUUUGAGCACCUGGUGUAAGCCAUUGGCAUGACUUGACAUUUACCUAAUAGCUUUCUCUUG